rnacentral:rRNA from 1 species
AUUGACGCUGGCGGCAGGCCUAACUCAUGCACGUCGAGCGGAUGACGGGAGCUUGCUCCCUGAUUUAGCGACGGACGGGUGAGUAAUGCCUAGGAAUCUGCCUGGUAGUGGGGGAUAACGUUCCGAAAGGAACGCUAAUACCGCAUACGUCCUACGGGAGAAAGCAGGGGACCUUCGGGCCUUGCGCUAUCAGAUGAGCCUAGGUCGGAUUAGCUAGUUGGUGAGGUAAUGGCUCACCAAGGCGACGAUCCGUAACUGGUCUGAGAGGAUGAUCAGUCACACUGGAACUGAGACACGGUCCAGACUCCUACGGGAGGCAGCAGUGGGGAAUAUUGGACAAUGGGCGAAAGCCUGAUCCAGCCAUGCCGCGUGUGUGAAGAAGGUCUUCGGAUUGUAAAGCACUUUAAGUUGGGAGGAAGGGCAUUAACCUAAUACGUUAGUGUUUUGACGUUACCGACAGAAUAAGCACCGGCUAACUUCGUGCCAGCAGCCGCGGUAAUACGAAGGGUGCAAGCGUUAAUCGGAAUUACUGGGCGUAAAGCGCGCGUAGGUGGUUCAGUAAGUUGGAUGUGAAAUCCCCGGCUCAACCUGGAACUGCAUCCAAACUGCUGAGC